CAGGCUUAACACAUGCAAGUCGAGGGGCAGCAUUUUAGUUUGCUUGCAAACUGAAGAUGGCGACCGGCGCACGGGUGAGUAACACGUAUCCAACCUACCGAUAACUCCGGAAUAGCCUUUCGAAAGAAAGAUUAAUACCGGAUAGCAUACGAAUAUCGCAUGAUAUUUUUAUUAAAGAAUUUCGGUUAUCGAUGGGGAUGCGUUCCAUUAGUUUGUUGGCGGGGUAACGGCCCACCAAGACUACGAUGGAUAGGGGUUCUGAGAGGAAGGUCCCCCACAUUGGAACUGAGACACGGUCCAAACUCCUACGGGAGGCAGCAGUGAGGAAUAUUGGUCAAUGGGCGAGAGCCUGAACCAGCCAAGUAGCGUGAAGGAUGAAGGCUCUAUGGGUCGUAAACUUCUUUUAUAUGGGAAUAAAGUUUUCCACGUGUGGAAUUUUGUAUGUACCAUAUGAAUAAGGAUCGGCUAACUCCGUGCCAGCAGCCGCGGUAAUACGGAGGAUCCGAGCGUUAUCCGGAUUUAUUGGGUUUAAAGGGAGCGUAGGUGGAUUGUUAAGUCAGUUGUGAAAGUUUGCGGCUCAACCGUAAAAUUGCAGUUGAAACUGGCAGUCUUGAGUACAGUAGAGGUGGGCGGAAUUCGUGGUGUAGCGGUGAAAUGCUUAGAUAUCACGAAGAACUCCGAUUGCGAAGGCAGCUCACUAGACUGUCACUGACACUGAUGCUCGAAAGUGUGGGUAUCAAACAGGAUUAGAUACCCUGGUAGUCCACACAGUAAACGAUGAAUACUCGCUGUUUGCGAUACAGUGUAAGCGGCACAGCGAAAGCGUUAAGUGGUCCACCUGGGGAGUACGCCGGCAACGGUGAAACUCAAAGGAAUUGACGGGGGCCCGCACAAGCGGAGGAACAUGUGGUUUAAUUCGAUGAUACGCGAGGAACCUUACCCGGGCUUAAAUUGCAACAGAAUAUAUUGGAAACAGUAUAGCCGUAAGGCUGUUGUGAAGGUGCUGCAUGGUUGUCGUCAGCUCGUGCCGUGAGGUGUCGGCUUAAGUGCCAUAACGAGCGCAACCCUUAUCUUUAGUUACUAACAGGUUAUGCUGAGGACUCUGGUGGGACUGCCGUCGUAAGAUGUGAGGAAGGUGGGGAUGACGUCAAAUCAGCACGGCCCUUACGUCCGGGGCUACACACGUGUUACAAUGGGGGGUACAGAAGGCGGCUACCUGGUGACAGGAUGCUAAUCCCAAAAACCUCUCUCAGUUCGGAUCGAAGUCCGCAACCCGACUUCGUGAAGCUGGAUUCGCUAGUAAUCGCGCAUCAGCCAUGGCGCGGUGAAUACGUUCCCGGGCCUUGUACACACCGCCCGUCAAGCCAUGAAAGCCGGGGGUACCUGAAGUACGUAACCGCAAGGAGCGUCCUAGGGUAAAACUGGUAAUUGGGGCUAAGU
rnacentral:rRNA from 1 species